rnacentral:lncRNA from 1 species
UAACGUCUUCUCAACACAUACAUUUGGAAGUAGAAGAUAUGCAAAUUGAUGUGAUAUGUUUCAAACCUCUUAUUGAGUAAAAAAAGACUUAUCAUUAUCAAGAAGGAUAAUGCUUGUAUUAUAGAGAACCUAAGUAUACUACUCAAUAUUAUUCAAAAAAGUGACACAAUCAAAACAUUAUUUUGAGAUCUGCAACAAAUUAAUGAGGAAUUCAAGAUAGUUUGACACUCAGGUGCUACCGCCAAUAGUUGCUUCAUGGAGAUUGUGAGUUGUAUGGUAUCCAAAUCUUUUAGAAUAUCAUAUGAUUUUGUAUUAGUCGUA